UCGCCUCUUGCAACAAUUAAGUAUAAGAGGUCCCGCCUGCCCAGUGACUAGUUCAACGGCCGCGGUAUCAUGACCGUGCAAAGGUAGCGUAAUCACUUGUCUUUUAAAUAAAGACCCGUAUGAAAGGCAAAACGAAAGUUCAACUGUCUCUUUAAUCCAAUCAAUGAAAUUUAUCUUUUCGUGCAGAGGCGGAGAUAAACAUAUAAGACGAGAAGACCCUAUGGAGCUUCAAACACACUAUUAACUACUACAGUAAUUUCAACCAACAGGCAAAAUCAUAAACCACAUAGCCAUAAUAUAAGUUUUAGGUUGGGGCGACCACGGAGCAAAAAAAAUCCUCCGAGAUAAACAAUUUAGAGUAACACUUCGAAAAUUAAAACAUUUAUUAUAAAUGAUCCACUAAGUGACCAACGAACCAAGUUACCCUAGGGAUAACAGCGCAAUCCUUUCUAAGAGUCCAUAUCGACGAAUGGGUUUACGACCUCGAUGUUGGAUCAGGACACCCAAAUGGUGCAGCCGCUGUUAAAGGUUCGUUUGUUCAACGAUUAAAGUCCUAC
rnacentral:rRNA from 1 species